GACGGCCUUCGGGUUGUAAACUCCUUUCGUUAGGGACGAAGCCACACCUUUUUUUGGGUGUGGUGACGGUACCUUUGUUAAAAAGCACCGGCUAACUACGUGCCAGCAGCCGCGGUAAUACGUAGGGUGCGAGCGUUGUCCGGAAUUACUGGGCGUAAAGAGCUCGUAGGUGGUUUGUUGCGUCGUCUGUGAAAUUCCGGGGCUUAACUUCGGGGUGGCAGGCGAUACGGGCAUAACUAGAGUGCUGUAGGGGAGACUGGAAUUCCUGGUGUAGCGGUGGAAUGCGCAGAUAUCAGGAGGAACACCGAUGGCGAAGGCAGGUCUCUGGGCAGUAACUGACGCUGAGGAGCGAAAGCAUGGGGAGCGAACAGGAUUAGAUACCCUGGUAGUCCAUGCUGUAAACGGUGGGCGUUAGGUGUGGGGACCGGUUUGGUUUCUGUGCCGUAGCUAACGCAUUAAGCGCCCCGCCUGGGGAGUACGGCCGCAAGGCUAAAACUCAAAGGAAUUGACGGGGGCCCGCACAAG
rnacentral:rRNA from 1 species